AACGAACGCUGGCGGCAUGCCUAACACAUGCAAGUCGAACGAGACCUUCGGGGCUAGUGGCGCACGGGUGCGUAACGCGUGGGAACCUGCCCUUAGGUUCGGAAUAACUCCCCGAAAGGGGUGCUAAUACCGGAUAAUGUCUUCGGACCAAAGAUUUAUCGCCUUUGGAUGGGCCCGCGUUGGAUUAGCUAGUUGGUAGGGUAAAAGCCUACCAAGGCGACGAUCCGUAGCUGGUCUGAGAGGAUGAUCAGCCACACUGGGACUGAGACACGGCCCAGACUCCUACGGGAGGCAGCAGUGGGGAAUAUUGGACAAUGGGCGAAAGCCUGAUCCAGCAAUGCCGCGUGAGUGAUGAAGGCCUUAGGGUUGUAAAGCUCUUUUACCCGGGAUGAUAAUGACAGUACCGGGAGAAUAAGCUCCGGCUAACUCCGUG
rnacentral:rRNA from 1 species